rnacentral:rRNA from 1 species
UUGAACGCUGGCGGCAGGCCUAACACAUGCAAGUCGAGCGGAUGAAGGGAGCUUGCUCCUGGAUUCAGCGGCGGACGGGUGAGUAAUGCCUAGGAAUCUGCCUGGUAGUGGGGGAUAACGUCCGGAAACGGGCGCUAAUACCGCAUACGUCCUGAGGGAGAAAGUGGGGGAUCUUCGGACCUCACGCUAUCAGAUGAGCCUAGGUCGGAUUAGCUAGUUGGUGGGGUAAAGGCCUACCAAGGCGACGAUCCGUAACUGGUCUGAGAGGAUGAUCAGUCACACUGGAACUGAGACACGGUCCAGACUCCUACGGGAGGCAGCAGUGGGGAAUAUUGGACAAUGGGCGAAAGCCUGAUCCAGCCAUGCCGCGUGUGUGAAGAAGGUCUUCGGAUUGUAAAGCACUUUAAGUUGGGAGGAAGGGCAGUAAGUUAAUACCUUGCUGUUUUGACGUUACCAACAGAAUAAGCGCCGGCUAACUUCGUG